CUCGUAGGUGGCCAACUAAGUCAGACGUGAAAUCCCUCAGCUUAACUGGGGAACUGCGUCUGAUACUGGAUGGCUUGAGUUUGGGAGAGGGAUGCGGAAUUCCAGGUGUAGCGGUGAAAUGCGUAGAUAUCUGGAGGAACACCGGUGGCGAAGGCGGCAUCCUGGACCAAUACUGACACUGAGGAGCGAAAGCCAGGGAGCAACG
rnacentral:rRNA from 1 species